GUCCGGCCGGGAACUCAAAGGAGACUGCCAGUGAUAAACUGGAGGAAGGUGGGGAUGACGUCAAGUCAUCAUGGCCCUUACGACCAGGGCUACACACGUGCUACAAUGGCGCAUACAAAGAGAAGCGACCUCGCGAGAGCAAGCGGACCUCAUAAAGUGCGUCGUAGUCCGGAUUGGAGUCUGCAACUCGACUCCAUGAAGUCGGAAUCGCUAGUAAUCGUGGAUCAGAAUGCCACGGUGAAUACGUUCCCGGGCCUUGUACACACCGCCCGUCACACCAUGGGAGUGGGUUGCAAAAGAAGUAGGUAGCUUAACCUUCGGGAGGGCGCUUACCACUUUGUGAUUCAUGACUGGGGUGAAGUCGUAACAAGGUAACCGUAGGGGAACCUGCGGUUGGAUCACCUCCUUACCUUAAAGAAGC
rnacentral:rRNA from 1 species